rnacentral:rRNA from 1 species
UCUACGGGUGGCAGCAGUGAGGAAUAUUGGUCAAUGGCCGGAAGGCUGAACCAGCCAAGCCGCGUGAAGGACGAAGGUGCCAAGCAUUGUAAACUUCUUUUGUCAAGGGACAAAAUCAGGCUCGAGAGCCUGACCGAGGGUACUUGAAGAAAAAGCAUCGGCUAACUCCGUGCCAGCAGCCGCGGUAAUACGGAGGAUGCGAGCGUUAUCCGGAUUUAAUGGGUUUAAAGGGAGCGUAGGCGGACUGUUAAGUCAGUGGGAAAAGGGCGGGGGCCAACCCCCGGCAAGCAUUUGAAACUGGCUGUCUUGAGAUGUCGAGAGGUAUGCGGAAUGCGCGGUGUAGCGGUGAAAUGCUUAGAUAUUACGCAGAACUCCGAUUGCGAAGGCAGCAUACCGGCGCUCAACUGACGCUCAUGCACGAAAGUGUGGGUAUCGAACAGGAUUAGAUACCCGGGUAGUC